rnacentral:rRNA from 1 species
AGUCUGGUGCCAGCAGCCGCGGUAAUUCCAGCUCCAAAAGCAUAUAUUAAAGUUGUUGCGGUUAAAAAGCUCGUAGUUGGAUCCAUGACCACGGAGGGCGGUCCCCCACUGGGUGCGUACUGCUGCUCCGAGUCCUAUCUGUCAGUUUGUCUGUGUUGCCUUUAAUCGGGUGGCACAGGUGACUGACGUGUUUACUUUGAAAAAAUUAGAGUGUUUAAAGCAGGCGUUGAAUGCCUGAAUAGUGGUGCAUGGAAUAAUGGAAUAGGAUCUCGGUUCUAUUUUGUUGGUUCAAGAGCAUGAGAAAAUGAUUAAGAGGGACAGACGGGGGCAUUUGUAUUGCUGCGUUAGAGGUGAAAUUCUUGGAUCGUAGCAAGACAAACUACUGCGAAGGCAUUUGCCAAGAAUGUUUUCAUUAAUCAAGAACGAAAGUUAGAGGUUCGAAGGCGAUCAGAUACCGCCCUAGUUCUAACCGUAAACCAUGUCGACUAGCUAUCUGUCAGCGUUAAUAAUGACCUGACAGGCAGCUUACCGGAAACGAAAGUUUCUCGAUUCCGGGGGUAGUAUGGUUGCAAAGCUGAAACUUAAAGGAAUUGACGGAGGGGCACCACCAGGAGUGGAGCCUGCGGCUUAAUUUGACCCAACACGGGAAAACUCACCCGGCCCGGACACCGUAAGGAUUGACAGAUUAAUAGCUCUUUCUCGAUUCGGUGAUUGGUGGUGCAUGGCCGUUCUUAGUUGGUGGAGCGAUUUGUCUGGUUAAUUCCGAUAACGAACGAGAUUCUAACUUACUAACUAGUUCCACGAUCCCUGUGGUCCUAAAUACUUCUUAGAGGGAAAACCGGCAUUUAGUCGAACGAGAUUGAGCAAUAACAGGUCUGUGAUGCCCUUAGAUGUCCGGGGCUGCACGCGUGCUACACUGAAGGAAUCAGCGUGUUUUUCCCUUGCCUGUAAUGGCUGGGUAACCGACUGAAUCUCCUUCGUGUUAGGGAUAGAUCAUUGAAACUAGUGAUCUUCAACUUGGAAUUCCUGGUACGUUUGAGUCAUAAGCUCAAGCAGAUUACGUCCCUGCCCUUUGUACACACCGCCCGUCGCUACUACCGACUGGCAAUAUCUUUGAGACACUUGGAGCGGCCGUGAGCUACCCUAACUGGUAACUCACGGCUGCGAAAAGGUU